rnacentral:rRNA from 1 species
UGGUUAUGUACGGCUAAGCAUUGAGGCAGUCUAAAUAGGCAAAUCCGUUUAGACAAUGCUAGGAUGUGAUGGGGAAGCCCUUCGGGGCGAAGUAGCUGAUUUCACACUGUCAAGAAAAGCUUCUAUCGAGUUUAAAGGCGCCCGUACCGUAAACCGACACAGGUGGGUGAGGAGAGUAUCCUAAGGCCAGCGAGAGAACUAUUGUUAAGGAACUCGGCAAAAUGACCCCGUAACUUAGGGAGAAGGGGUGCCUGUCUAUGACAGGCCGCAGAGAAUAGGCCCAAGCGACUGUUUACCAAAAACACAGGUUUCUGCUAAGUCGCAGGACGAUGUAUAGGAGCUGACGCCUGCCCGGUGCUGGAAGGUUAAGGGGAUCUGUUAGAGCAAUCGAAGCAGUGAACUUAAGCCCCAGUAAACGGCGGCCGUAACAAUAACGGUCCUAAGGUAGCGAAAUUCCUUGUCGGGUAAGUUCCGACCCGCACGAAAGGCGUAACGAUUUGGGCACUGUCUCAACAAUAGACUCGGUGAAAUUGUAAUCCCGGUGAAGAUGCCGGGUACCUGCGACAGGACGGAAAGACCCCAUGGAGCUUUACUGUAGCUUGACGUUGGGUCUUGGUACUACAUGUACAGGAUAGGUGGGAGACUACGAAGCAUGGACGCCAGUCUGUGUGGAGUCAUCCUUGGGAUACCACCCUUGUAGUACUGGGAUCCUAACCAUAGGCCUUGAAUCAGGUCUUGGAACACCGUCAGGUGGGCAGUUUGACUGGGGCGGUCGCCUCCUAAAAAGUAACGGAGGCGCUCAAAGGUUUCCUCAGCACGGUCGGAAAUCGUGCGAAGAGUGUAAAGGCAAAAGGAAGCUUGAUUGCAAGACAUACAGGUCGAGCAAGGACGAAAGUCGGACUUAGUGAUCCGGUGUACCGCAUGGAAGGGCCAUCGCUCAACGGAUAAAAGCUACCCUGGGGAUAACAGGCUUAUCUCCCCCAAGAGUCCACAUCGACGGGGAGGUUUGGCACCCCGAUGUCGGCUCAUCACAUCCUGGGGCUGUAGUAGGUCCCAAGGGUUGGGCUGUUCGCCCAUUAAAGUGGUACGCGAGCUGGGUUCAGAACGUCGUGAGACAGUUCGGUCCCUAUCCGUCGCAGGCGUAGGAAAUUUGAGAAGACCUGUCCUUAGUACGAGAGGACCGGGAUGGACGUACCUCUGGUGUACCAGUUGUUCUGCCAAGGGCAUGGCUGGGUAGCUAUGUACGGAAUGGAUAAGCGCUGAAAGCAUCUAAGCGCGAAGCCAACUUCAAGAUAAGAUUUCCCACCGUAAGGGUAAGACCCCAGGAAGACUACCUGGUUGAUAGGUCGAAGGUGUAAGUGCAGUAAUGUAUUUAGCUUAUCGAUACUAAUAGGUCGAGGACUUGAUC